UACGGGGGGGGCAAGCGUUGUUCGGAUUUACUGGGCGUAAAGGGCGCGUAGGCGGCUUAACAAGUCACUUGUGAAAUCUCCGGGCUUAACUCGGAACGGCCAAGUGAAACUGUCAAGCUAGAGUGCGGAAGGGGCAAUCGGAAUUCUUGGUGUAGCGGUGAAAUGCGUAGAUAUCGAGAGGAACACCUGCGGCGAAGGCGGGUUGCUGGGCUGACACUGACGCUGAUGCGCGAAAGCCAGGGGAGCGAACGGG
rnacentral:rRNA from 1 species